rnacentral:rRNA from 1 species
UACGUAGGGUGCGAGCGUUGUCCGGAAUUAUUGGGCGUAAAGGGCGCGUAGGCGGCUUGGCAAGUGGAUGGUGAAAUCCCUCGGCUUAACCGAGGAACUGCCGUCCAAACUGCUUUGCUUGAGGCCGGGAGAGGCGAGUGGAAUUCCCAGUGUAGCGGUGAAAUGCGUAGAUAUUGGGAGGAACACCAGUGGCGAAGGCGGCUCGCUGGACCGGUUCUGACGCUGAUGCGCGAAAGCGUGGGGAGCAAACGGG